rnacentral:rRNA from 1 species
UACGGAGGGUGCAAGCGUUAUCCGGAUUUACUGGGUUUAAAGGGUGCGUAGGUGGACAAUUCAGUCAGUGGUGAAAUCUCCGGGCUUAACCCGGAAACUGCCAUUGAUACUACUUGUCUUGAAUACUUUGGAGGUAAGCGGAAUAUGUCAUGUAGCGGUGAAAUGCUUAGAUAUGACAUAGAACACCAAUUGCGAAGGCAGCUUACUACACAGUAAUUGACACUGAGGCACGAAAGCGUGGGGAUCAAACAGG